AACGAACGCUGGCGGCAUGCCUAACACAUGCAAGUCGAACGAGACCUUCGGGUCUAGUGGCGCACGGGUGCGUAACGCGUGGGAACCUGCCCUUAGGUUCGGAAUAACUCCCCGAAAGGGGUGCUAAUACCGGAUAAUGUCUUCGGACCAAAGAUUUAUCGCCUUUGGAUGGGCCCGCGUUGGAUUAGCUAGUUGGUAGGGUAAAAGCCUACCAAGGCGACGAUCCAUAGCUGGUCUGAGAGGAUGAUCAGCCACACUGGGACUGAGACACGGCCCAGACUCCUACGGGAGGCAGCAGUGGGUAAUAUUGGACAAUGGGCGAAAGCCUGAUCCAGCAAUGCCGCGUGAGUGAUGAAGGCCGUAGGGUUGUAAAGCUCUUUUAACCGGGAUGAUAAUGACAGUACCGGGAGAAUAAGCUCCGGCUAACUCCGUG
rnacentral:rRNA from 1 species